rnacentral:rRNA from 1 species
GACGAACGCUGGCGGCGUGCUUAACACAUGCAAGUCGAGCGGUAAGGCCCUUUCGGGGGGUACACGAGCGGCGAACGGGUGAGUAACACGUGGGUGACCUGCCCUCAGCUCUGGGAUAAGCCCGGGAAACUGGGUCUAAUACUGGAUAUGACUCCAUGACGCAUGUUGUGGGGUGGAAAGCCUUGUGCGGCUGAGGAUCGGGCCCGCGGCCUAUCAGCUUGGUUGGGUGGGGNGAUGGCCUACCAAGGCGACGACGGGUAGCCGGCCUGAGAGGGCGACCGGCCACAC